GAUGGAAUCUAUAUCCCUUCCCCUUGAACCUGGGUGGACUUUGUGGCUUUUCUGUCAACAGAAGGUGGUGGAAGUGACACUAUGUGAUUUCAGAGGAUAGAUCAUAAGAAGUGACAGAGCUUCUGCCUGGUUCCUUCUCUGGACAUUUUCUCAGCAUCCAGUCAUCCAGCAAGGAAGCCUAGGCCACAUGGGGAGGCUACUUGUAGGUGUUCCAGUCAGCAGUCCUAGACAACGGCCAGAAUCAGCCACCAGACAUGCAUUUUCCCCAAUGUAUCUCUGCCCAUCUAACUCUAUCUUGGCAUCUGCUUCCUGGUGGAUCUGAACUGACCCAUAAACCAUGCUUACUAGUUAUUUCCAGCCAAACAGAAAGAGACUUCGUGGCAGUCUUUUUGUGGGGUGUUCAAACACUAAUGAAAAAAGCUUUGAAACCAAGAUGACUUUUUUUGCCCAAGUGCAUUACUAAAGCACUAGAUAACAUCAGACAAAAGAUAGUGCCUUCUGGCCGGGCGUGGUGGUUCAUGCCUGUAAUCCCAGCACUUUGGGAAGCCAAGGUGGGUGGA